UAGCCGUAAACGAUACUCGCUAGGUGUCGGCCACGGUGCGACCGUUGUCGGUGCCGUAGGGAAGCCGUGAAGCGAGCCACCUGGGAAGUACGGCCGCAAGGCUGAAACUUAAAGGAAUUGGCGGGGGGAGCACAACAACGGGUGGAGCUUGCGGUUUAAUUGGAUUCAACGCCGGGAAGCUCACCGGAUAAGACAGCGGAAUGAUUGCCGGGCUGAAGACCCUGCAUGACCAGCUGAGAGGAGGUGCAUGGCGUAGUCGUGU
rnacentral:rRNA from 1 species